rnacentral:sRNA from 1 species
UAUGCUUGUGUAAAUAAUAUAAUUUUGA